UCAGCUCGUGUCGUGAGAUGUUGGUUAAGUCCGCAACGAGCGCAACCCCUAUUGUUAGUUGCCAUCAUUCAGUUGGGCACUCUAGCGAGACUGCCGGUAAUAAACCGGAGGAAGGUGGGGAUGACGUCAAAUCAUCAUGCCCCUUAUGACCUGGGCUACACACGUGCUACAAUGGUUGGUACAACGAGUUGCGAGUCGGUGACGGCGAGCUAAUCUCUUAAAGCCAAUCUCAGUUCGGAUUGUAGGCUGCAACUCGCCUACAUGAAGUCGGAAUCGCUAGUAAUCGCGGAUCAGCACGCCGCGGUGAAUACGUUCCCGGGCCUU
rnacentral:rRNA from 1 species